AAGACUAUACUUUCAGGAAUCAUGUCUAUAGUUUGUUACUAGAGAAGUUUCUCUGAUCCUAUAGAGCACCUGAAACUAUGAGGAGGAGCCAUAGCAUCCUCUCCUGAGUGUGAACUGUUUCUAGGUGUUGUUUUCUAACUCUUUUACCGUUGAUGACUAUUCUUCUCACCCUUGAAAGAGUGAGAGGGAGAGGAUGCUGUCUGAGUGGU